AAUAAGCGUAAUCAUGAGUUUUCGUGUCCAACUUAUUUAAAUUUUUUUCUGAUUAGUAUUUUAAUUAUUAUUUUUUUGACUGGAAGUAUUUUAAUUAUUAUUAGAUUAUAAAAUAUGAACAGUAUUUUAUGCGAGACUUAUGUUUUUUUUUUAUUUUUUUUAAAAAAAUUUAAAUAAGACAGACAAUUAAAGUUGGAGAUAGGAACUCAUUGCUGUGCUUAUU
rnacentral:pre_miRNA from 1 species